CUCUCCCUGGUUGUCAAACCGUGC
rnacentral:siRNA from 1 species